GGUGUGCUUAGCCGCGCUUAAUUGGGAAUGGGGUGAGAAUCCCCGACUGUCCCGCAGCUGUGAACUCCGUUAUGGCUCUUCGGAAACAAAGCCAUUAUCCGUUUGGAUGAGAAGGCUCCGAGGGGUGGAGGAAAGUCAGAAGACCAGCCUUUUUCGGUA
rnacentral:ncRNA from 1 species